GAUGAACGCUGGCGGCGUGCCUAAUACAUGCAAGUCGAGCGAACAGACGAGGAGCUUGCUCCUCUGACGUUAGCGGCGGACGGGUGAGUAACACGUGGAUAACCUACCUAUAAGACUGGGAUAACUUCGGGAAACCGGAGCUAAUACCGGAUAACAUGUUGAACCGCAUGGUUGAAUAGUGAAAGACGGUCUUGCUGUCACUUAUAGAUGGAUCUGCGCCGCAUUAGCUAGUUGGUAAGGUAACGGCUUACCAAGGCAACGAUGCGUAGCCGACCUGAGAGGGGGAUCGGCCACACUGGAACUGAGACACGGUCCAGACGCCUACGAGAGGCAGCAGUAGGGAAUCUUCCGCAAUGGGCGAAAGCCUGACGGAGCAACGCCGCGUGAGUGAAGAAAGUCUUCGGAUCGUAAAACUCUGUUAUUAGUGAAGAACAAAUGUGUAAGUAACUAUGCACGUCUUGACGGUACCUAAUCAGAAAGCCACGGCUAACUACGUG
rnacentral:rRNA from 1 species